AUAAUCAUUAGUCUUUUAAUUGAAGACUUGUAUGAAGGAUUGAAUGAAAUAUAUACUGUCUCAUUAAAAUUUAAAAUUGAAUUUAAUUUUUGAGUUAAAAAGCUUAAAUAUUAUUAGAGGACGAGAAGACCCUAUAGAGUUUUAUAUUUAUUAAAAUAUUAAUUAAAUGUAUAAAUUAAUAUUGAUGAUAUUUAUUUUGUUGGGGUGAUGGGAAAAUUUGUUAAACUUUUUUAUGUAUUUAUACAUUAAUAUAUGAUUUUAUUGAUCCUUAAUUAAAGAUUAAUAGAUUAAAUUACCUUAGGGAUAACAGCGUAAUUUUUUUUUAAAGUUCAUAUUUGAAGAAAAGAUUGC
rnacentral:rRNA from 1 species